UGGGGAAUAUUGCACAAUGGGCGCAAGCCUGAUGCAGCCAUGCCGCGUGUGUGAAGAAGGCCUUCGGGUUGUAAAGCACUUUCAGCGAGGAGGAAGGGUAGUGUGUUAAUAGCACAUUGCAUUGACGUUACUCGCAGAAGAAGCACCGGCUAACUCCGUGCCAGCAGCCGCGGUAAUACGGAGGGUGCAAGCGUUAAUCGGAAUUACUGGGCGUAAAGCGCACGCAGGCGGUUUGUUAAGUCAGAUGUGAAAUCCCGCGCUAACGUGGAACUGCAUUUG
rnacentral:rRNA from 1 species